UGCGUAGGCGGUUUACUAAGUCAGAUGUGAAAGCCCCGGGCUUAACCUGGGAACUGCAUUUGAUACUGGUAGGCUAGAGUAUGAUAGAGAGGGGUAGAAUUCCUGGUGUAGCGGUGAAAUGCGUAGAUAUCAGGAGGAAUACCAGUGGCGAAGGCGGCCCCCUGGAUCAAUACUGACGCUGAGGUACGAAAGCGUGGGUAGCGAACA
rnacentral:rRNA from 1 species